CCAGGGCCGCCGCUUCGCGGCCUCCGGACGACGGUUCAGUACCCGGCACGCGACAAGACUGGCCAAA
rnacentral:ncRNA from 1 species